rnacentral:rRNA from 1 species
AGAGUUUGAUCCUGGCUCAGGAUGAACGCUAGCUACAGGCUUAACACAUGCAAGUCGAGGGGCAGCAUGAUUGAAGCUUGCUUCAAUUGAUGGCGACCGGCGCACGGGUGAGUAACGCGUAUCCAACCUUCCGUACACUCAGGGAUAGCCUUUCGAAAGAAAGAUUAAUACCUGAUGGUAUGAUGAGAUUGCAUGAUAGCAUCAUUAAAGAUUUAUCGGUGUACGAUGGGGAUGCGUUCCAUUAGGUAGUAGGCGGGGUAACGGCCCACCUAGCCGACGAUGGAUAGGGGUUCUGAGAGGAAGGUCCCCCACAUUGGAACUGAGACACGGUCCAAACUCCUACGGGAGGCAGCAGUGAGGAAUAUUGGUCAAUGGACGAGAGUCUGAACCAGCCAAGUAGCGUGAAGGAUGAAGGUCCUACGGAUUGUAAACUUCUUUUAUAAGGGAAUAAAACCUCCCACGUGUGGGAGCUUGUAUGUACCUUAUGAAUAAGCAUCGGCUAACUCCGUGCCAGCAGCCGCGGUAAUACGGAGGAUGCGAGCGUUAUCCGGAUUUAUUGGGUUUAAAGGGAGCGCAGACGGGUCGUUAAGUCAGCUGUGAAAGUUUGGGGCUCAACCUUAAAAUUGCAGUUGAUACUGGCGUCCUUGAGUGCGGUUGAGGUGUGCGGAAUUCGUGGUGUAGCGGUGAAAUGCUUAGAUAUCACGAAGAACUCCGAUUGCGAAGGCAGCACACUAAGCCGUAACUGACGUUCAUGCUCGAAAGUGUGGGUAUCAAACAGGAUUAGAUACCCUGGUAGUCCACACGGUAAACGAUGGAUACUCGCUGUUGGCGAUAUACGGUCAGCGGCUUAGCGAAAGCGUUAAGUAUCCCACCUGGGGAGUACGCCGGCAACGGUGAAACUCAAAGGAAUUGACGGGGGCCCGCACAAGCGGAGGAACAUGUG